CUACGGGCGGCAGCAGUGGGGAAUUUUGCGCAAUGGGGGAAACCCUGACGCAGCAAUACCGCGUGAGUGAAGAAGGCCUUUGGGUCGUAAAGCUCUUUUCUUGGGGAAGAUAGUGACGGUACCCAAGGAAUAAGCACCGGCUAACUCCGUGCCAGCAGCCGCGGUAAUACGGAGGGUGCAAGCGUUGUUCGGAUUUACUGGGCGUAAAGGGCACGUAGGCGGCACAGCAAGUUAAGGGUGAAAUCCCGGGGCUCAACUCCGGAACUGCUCUUAAAACUGCUGAGCUAGAGAUAGUCAGAGGCGGGUGGAAUUCCAGGUGUAGAGGUGAAAUUCGUAGAUAUCUGGAGGAACACCGGUGGCGAAGGCGGCCCGCUGGGGCUACUCUGACGCUAAGGUGCGAAAGCGUGGGGAGCAAACGGGAUUAGAUACCCGAGUAGUC
rnacentral:rRNA from 1 species